AGGACGAACGCUGGCGGCGCGCUUAACACAUGCAAGUCGAGCGAGAACCAGGCCUUCGGGCCUGGGGAAAGCGGCGAACGGGUGAGUAACACGUGGGUAACCCACCCUUGGUACCGGGAUAGCCCGAGGAAACUCGGAUUAAUACCGGAUGGCCCAACAGCUCUUCGGGGCGGUUGGAAAAGGUAGCUUCGGCCUCCGACCAAGGACGGGCCCGCGGCGGAUUAGCUUGUUGGUGAGGUAACGGCUCACCAAGGCGACGAUCCGUAGCUGGUCUGAGAGGACGAUCAGCCACACUGGGACUGAGACACGGCCCAGACUCCUACGGGAGGCAGCAGUGGGGAAUCUUGCGCAAUGGGCGAAAGCCUGACGCAGCGACGCCGCGUGGGGGAAGAAGGCUUUCGGGUUGUAAACCCCUUUCAGGAAGGACGAAGCCACUCGGGUUAAUAGCCCAGAGGGUGACGGUACUUCCAGAAGAAGCCCCGGCUAACUACGCGCCAGCAGCCGC
rnacentral:rRNA from 1 species